CAGGGAAUGAAUAUUUCAAACUAAAAGGUAAUUUUUAGGAUUUUAUCGAUAUUUCAAAGAUUAAUUCUACUUUAGUUAUUAUUUCCAUUCUCGCUAAUAUACUUAUGACCUAAUUACGUUAAAAUUUGUAAAUGUUUGCUAUUUAACUUUCGUUCUGGGCUUGGCCAUAAUAUAUAUUUAUCAUAAUUUAUGUUAUGGCCUAUUUCUAUGUCAAGAUAUUGUUUUCGUUCAUAAUAUCUUUGUUAUCUACACGAGUUUGUACAGUAAUUAAACAAAUUAUUGGAACUUCAUAUAUACAUGUUCACGGGCCCAUUCAUUUAGCAGGUAAAGGAAACGAAACUGUAUUUGGUAUAUGUAUCACUGAUGUCAGUACACAGUUAAACAUGUUAAAGGUUCUCAUAUAUUUAUACCAAAUGUACAACCCAAAACACAAAAAGGAAGUCGAAUCACGUUAGUUUACUCAUUUAACAUCUCCUUUCUCUUAAAAGGUAUUAAAUGUAUAAUUUCGUAUGAUCAAGUGGGUGCAUCAUUCGUGACUAACAGACAAUGGUGCAAUUUCAGGUUGUCCUUCAACAUCAAAUCUAAAGUAUGUGGAACUAUACUCAUGCAUAUGGCAGGGUAGAAGAGGGGGGCAUCGCCCAUAUAAAGGAUUUGUAUAGUAAGACUUCUUACUAUACAAAUCCUUGCCCAUAUCUAUUUUUUUUUUUUAAUUGUAUUAACCAAGGAUUUGUAUAGUACUAUCCUUGUUUUAACAUCUAAUAACUAUAAAAAAAAAAUGUCAAGAACCGUAACUCUCUAUCUUUAUUGUGUAUAAAUACAAAUAAAUACAAAUAAGUACCUACUAACCAAUACAAGUUGUUAUUUACUUUCUUUUUUUGUAAUAAUACAAAAAAACGAAAUUGAGUUUUUUUUAUGUUUAAAAAGUUUAUAUAUUUGUUCUGCUUAAUUGUACUGUGACAUGCGAGCAAGUUUUGAGGUGUAAUAAGUUGAUCAUUAUAUUUAUUUGUAAUUGAUUAACAAUAAAUAUAUGAACAUAAUCUAACUAAUACUUUCAAUAUGAUGAUUGAUGGAAAUAGCUGGCUAGUAUUAGUCUCAAAUCAACACUAAUUGAAGAUUAACUUCGUAUUUAAAACAAAUCUAAACUGAAUUUCUUGAUAAACAUUUCCACUAUCUAUUAUAAAAAGUUAAAUGUCGAUUUUAUCAAUUUAAAAUAUGUGACACUGGACUCUACACAAGCUGCAUAGGAAACCGAAGUACCUCACAGCACUUCUAUUUCAAAACUUAAUUAAGCCAUUAUUUCUUUUUAUGUUGGUGGUUGAUGGUGGUGCUGUUGUUAACUUUCAAAUCAGAUAUUGUUAUUUGUAGUUUGUGUUUAAUGGCGACAGCUACUAAGAGCUGUGGUGUUUGUGAACUCCGUCACAUCACCAAACCAUCCAUAGUCUGGUGUACAGAAUGUGACGAGGGCCUGUGUACAGAAUGCAACGAACAUCAUAGAUUGUCUAAGUCGUCGAGAAGUCAUUGCGUGAUACCCAUUACUGAUUACCAGAAAUUACCAACUGAUAUACUUAGAAUUUCUCAGUACUGUAGCAAACAUGAUAAAAAGUAUCAAAUGUAUUGCCAGAAGCAUGAAUUUCCCUGCUGCAGCAAAUGUAUCGUGGAAAGCCAUAACGAAUGCCGAGAUUUCGUCGAAUUAGAUGACGUCAUUCACAAUGUCAAAACCUCCAAUGCCAUGUGCGAAAUAGAGAAACAUUAGUUGAAGUUGCAGAAAAUCUACAGAAAAUUCGUCAGCAUCAACAGGACAAUCUGACGACAUUUAAAGAAAGUAGAAAGGAAAUUGAAAAAGAAAUAAAGAACCAGAAUAAAGAUCAACAACCAUCUUGACAAACUACAAGAGGAUUUAAUGAAACAACUAUAUGCAGUAGAAGAAAAAGAAAACUCGAGAAUUUGUCAGUUAUUGUCAUCAUUAGAAA
rnacentral:lncRNA from 1 species